CGGGGUGGAGUAAUGUCUGGGAAACUGCCUGAUGGAGGGGGAUAACUGCUGGAAACGGUAGCUAAUACCGCAUAACGUCGCAAGACCAAAGAGGGGGACCUUUGGGCCUCUUGCCAUCGGAUGUGCCCAGAUGGGAUUAGCUAGUAGGUGGGGUAACGGCUCACCUAGGCGACGAUCCCUAGCUGGUCUGAGAGGAUGACCAGCCACACUGGAACUGAGACACGGUCCAG
rnacentral:rRNA from 1 species